rnacentral:rRNA from 1 species
CCUACGGGAGGCAGCAGUGGGUGAUAUUGCACAAUGGGGGGAACCCUGAUGCAGCGACGCCGCGUGGGUGAAGAAGCGCCUCGGCGCGUAAAGCCCUGUCAGCAGGGAAGAAAAUGACGGUACCUGAAGAAGAAGCCCCGGCUAACUACGUGCCAGCAGCCGCGGUAAUCCGUAGGGGGCAAGCGUUAUCCGGAUUUACUGGGUGGAAAGGGGGCGCAGACGGCGAUGCAAGCCAGGAGUGAAAGCCCGGGGGCCAACCCCGGGACUGCUCUUGGAACUGCGUGGCUGGAGUGCAGGAGGGGCAGGCGGAAUGCGUGGUGUAGCGGUGAAAUGCGUAGAUAUCAGGAAGAACACCGGUGGCGAAGGCGGCCUGCUGGACUGCAACUGACGUUGAGGCCCGAAAGCGUGGGGAGCGAACAGGAUUAGAUACCCCAGUAGUC